UGGGGCGUAUACCCUCACUCUGAUAAAGUGUAGAAAGGUUAAUCGGUUACAUGUGGGUUCAAUUCCCACCGUCCCAA
rnacentral:tRNA from 2 species